GACGAACGCUGGCGGCGUGCUUAACACAUGCAAGUCGAACGGAAAGGCCCUGCUUUUGUGGGGUGCUCGAGUGGCGAACGGGUUAGUAACACGUUAGUAACCUGCCCUUGACUUUGGGAUAACUUCAGGAAACUGGGGCUAAUACCUGAUAGGAGCUCCUGCUGCAUGGUGGGGGUUGGAAAGUUUCGGCGGUUGGGGAUGGACUCGCGGCUUAUCAGCUUGUUGGUGGGGUAGUGGCUUACCAAGGCUUUGACGGGUAGCCGGCCUGAGAGGGUGACCGGCCACAUUGGGACUGAGAUACGGCCCAGACUCCUAAGGGAGGCAGCAGUGGGGAAUAGUGCAAAAUGGGCGGAAGCCUGAUGCAGCAACGCCGCGUGCGGGAUGACGGCCUUCGGGUUGUAAACCGCUUUCGCCUGUGACGAAGCGUGAGUGACGGUAAUGGGUAAAGAAGCACCGGCUAACUACGUG
rnacentral:rRNA from 1 species